rnacentral:rRNA from 1 species
UACGAAGGGGGCUAGCGUUGUUCGGAAUUACUGGGCGUAAAGGGCGCGUAGGCGGCUUAUCAAGUCAGGCGUGAAAUUCCCGGGCUCAACCUGGGGGCUGCGCUUGAUACUGAUGAGCUUGAAUGCGGGAGAGGAUAGUGGAAUUCCCAGUGUAGAGGUGAAAUUCGUAGAUAUUGGGAAGAACACCGGUGGCGAAGGCGGCUUCCUGGACCGACACUGACGCUGAGGCGCGAAAGCUAGGGGAGCAAACGGG